CCUACGGGAGACAGCAGUGAGGAAUAUUGGUCAAUGGGCGGAAGCCUGAACCAGCCAAGUAGCGUGCAGGAUGACGGCCCUACGGGUUGUAAACUGCUUUUAUACGGGAAUAACGCGCCUUACGUGUAGGGCUUUGCAUGUACCGUAUGAAUAAGGACCGGCUAAUUCCGUGCCAGCAGCCGCGGUAAUACGGAAGGACCGGGGGUUAGCCGGAUUUUUUGGGGUUAAAGGGGGCGUAGGCCGCAUGUCAAGCGUGCUGUGAAAUGUCCGGGCUCAACCCGGGCCUUGCAGCGCGAACUGGCGUGCUUGAGUCCGCGGAAAGCAGGCGGAAUGCGUCGUGUAGCGGUGAAAUGCUUAGAUAUGACGAAGAACCCCGAUUGCGAAGGCAGCUUGCUGCAGCGGAACUGACGCUGAUGCUCGAAAGCGCGGGUAUCGAACAGGAUUAGAUACCCCGGUAGUC
rnacentral:rRNA from 1 species